GGGCCGGUCGUCUAGCCUGGUAGGAUGCAGCAUUGGCAUUGCUGAGGUCGUGGGUUCAAAUCUCACCCGGUCCA
rnacentral:tRNA from 1 species